UACAGAGUAGCCAAGCGUUGUCCGGAUUGACUGGGCGUAAAGCGCACGCAGGCGGGGGUGCGCGUGGGGUGUUAAAUCUGGCCGCUUAACGGCCAGGCGCCAUCCCAUACGGCACGCCUGGAGCCUUGCAGAGGUCGGUGGAAUUUCCGGUGUAGUGGUGAAAUGCGUAGAGAUCGGCAGGAACACCCAGGGGGAAACCAGCCGACUGGGCAAGUGCUGACGCUGAGGUGCGAGAGCGUGGGGAGCGAACCGG
rnacentral:rRNA from 1 species